rnacentral:rRNA from 1 species
AUUGAACGCUGGCGGCAGGCCUAACACAUGCAAGUCGAGCGGAUGAAGGGAGCUUGCUCCUGGAUUCAGCGGCGGACGGGUGAGUAAUGCCUAGGAAUCUGCCUGGCAGUGGGGGAUAUCGUCCGGAAACGGGCGCUAAUACCGCAUACGUCCUGAGGGAGAAAGUGGGGGAUCUUCGGACCUCACGCUAUCAGAUGAGCCUAGGUCGGAUUAGCUAGUUGGUGGGGUAAAGGCCUACCAAGGCGACGAUCCGUAGCUGGUCUGAGAGGAUGAUCAGUCACACUAGAACUGAGACACGGUCCAGACUCCUACGGGAGGCAGCAGUGGGGAAUAUUGGACAAUGGGCGAAAGCCUGAUCCAGCCAUGCCGCGUGUGUGAAGAAGGUCUUCGGAUUGUAAAGCACUUUAAGUUGGGAGGAAGGGCAGUAAGUUAAUACCUUGCUGUUUUGACGUUACCAACAGAAUAAGCACCGGCUAACUUCGUG